rnacentral:rRNA from 1 species
AGAGCGAACGCUGGCGGCAGGCCUAACACAUGCAAGUCAAGCGCCCGUAGCAAUACGGGAGCGGCAGACGGGAUAGUAACACGUGGGAACGCGCCCUUCGGUUCGGAAUAACUCAGGGAAACUUGAGCUAAUACCGGAUACGCCCUUACGGGGAAAGAUUUAUUGCCGAAGGAACGGCCCGCGUCCGAUUAGCUAGUUGGUGAGGUAAUGGCUCACCAAGGCGACGAUCGGUAGCUGGUCUGAGAGGAUGACCAGCAUCACUGGGACUGAGACACGGCCCAGACUCCUACGGGAGGCAGCAGUGGGGAAUAUUGGACAAUGGGCGCAAGCCUGAUCCAGCCAUGCCGCGUGGAUGAUGAAGGCCUUAGGGUUGUAAAGUCCGUUUAACGGGGAAGAUAAUGACGGUACCGUAGAAUAAGCCCGGCUAACGUUCGUGCCAGCAGCCGC